CAGGUCUUGACAUCCCACUGACCGGUGUAGAGAUACAUAUUUCCCUUCGGGGACAGUGGUGACAGGUGGUGCAUGGUUGUCGUCAGCUCGUGUCGUGAGAUGUUGGGUUAAGUCCCGCAACGAGCGCAACCCUUGAUCUUAGUUGCCAGCAUUCAGUUGGGCACUCUAAGGUGACUGCCGGUGACAAACCGGAGGAAGGUGGGGAUGACGUCAAAUCAUCAUGCCCCUUAUGACCUGGGCUACACACGUGCUACAAUGGACGGUACAGAGGGUUGCCAACCCGCGAGGGGGAGCCAAUCCCAUAAAACCGUUCCCAGUUCGGAUUGCAGGCUGCAACUCGCCUGCAUGAAGCCGGAAUCGCUAGUAAUCGUGGAUCAGCAUGCCACGGUGAAUACGUUCCC
rnacentral:rRNA from 1 species